CCUACGGGUGACAGCAGUGAGGAAUAUUGGUCAAUGGUCGAGAGUCUGAACCAGCCAAGUAGCGUGGAGGAUGACGGCCCUAUGGGUUGUAAACUUCUUUUAUACGGGAAUAAAAUGCGGCACGUGUGAUGUUUUGUAUGUACUGCAUGAAUAAGGAUCGGCUAAUUCCGUGCCAGCAGCCGCGGUAAUACGGAAGGUCCGGGCGUUAUCCGGAUUUAUUGGGUUUAAAGGGUGCGUAGGCGGCAUUUUAAGCCAGCCGUGAAAUGCUGUGGCUUAACCAUAGCACUGCGGUGUGAACUGGGUUGCUUGAGUAUGCGGGAGGUAGGCGGAAUGCGUGGUGUAGCGGUGAAAUGCUUAGAGAUCACGAAGAAUACUGAUUGCGAAGGCAGCCUGCGACAGCAUGACUGACGCUGAUGCUCGAAGGCGUGGGGAUCGAACAGGAUUAGAUACCCCAGUAGUC
rnacentral:rRNA from 1 species